UACGUAGGGGGCAAGCGUUGUCCGGAAUCAUUGGGCGUAAAGCGCGUGUAGGCGGCCUUGCAAGUCGGGUGUGAAAGCCCUCAGCUCAACUGAGGAAGCGCGCCCGAAACUGCAGAGCUUGAGUACCGGAGAGGAUGGCGGAAUUCCCCAAGUAGAGGUGAAAUUCGUAGAUAUGGGGAGGAACACCGGUGGCGAAGGCGGCCAUCUGGACGGAUACUGACGCUGAGACGCGAAAGCGUGGGGAGCAAACAGG
rnacentral:rRNA from 1 species